UUGCUCUAGCAGCAUACAUACUACAGUAGGAACAACAGAGAGAAAGCUAGUGUGGUCUCUGAGCAAGCAUGACAUUCAAAUUUAUUACGUUCCACAUUUUU
rnacentral:snRNA from 1 species